rnacentral:rRNA from 1 species
UACGAGGGAGGCUAGCGUUGUCCGGAAUCAUUGGGCGUAAAGCGCGUGUAGGCGGUCCGGUAAGUCCGCUGUGAAAGUCCAGGGCUCAACCCUGGGAUGCCGGUGGAUACUGUCGGGCUCGAGUCCGGAAGAGGAGUGUGGAAUUCCUGGUGUAGCGGUGAAAUGCGUAGAUAUUGGGAGGAACACCAGUGGCGAAGCGGCUCGCUGGACCGGUUCUGACGCUGAGGCGCGAAAGCGUGGGGAGCAAACGGG